GAUAAAUAUGGCCAAAUUGAUAAUUGCCUAUACAAAUCUCAACCAAUUUUAAUUUUUAUGACUGAUGGAUAUGCACAAAGUUGUCAAUUAAGUUUUUAUUUUUUUCCAAAGGAGAGGCUAUGACCUCCCUCAUCACACUUGGACUGAACCUGGAUUUUUGUGUGCGUUUGUGUGUGCGAGCGUGUGUGUGUGUGCGCGUGUAAUCAUUGCUGCAUGCAUUGUCCCCCUCAACACAGUGUCCGGCUGCCCCCUAGCGUACAAAAGUAUACUGCAGCUCAAGCUGAGCCUCAAUUCGGAGGAGUCAUUCCUGCAAACGCAGCCUGCUUCAGUCUUUUGCUCUCUUCUGCCUCGAUCUAACUCAGCAGCGAGCCUCUUCGUUUUUUUUUGUUUUUUUAAAAUUAUCAUUAUUAAUAAUUUAAAUUAUACCGGACCACGUGGCGAUUAGAUGCAUUCACUGUUUCACAAAUUGGAUUUACUUGUUUUGUUAUUUUUUAUUAUUAUCUUUUUUUCUUUUUCUUUUUGCCACUACGCCGCGCCUUUUUAAACUACUUUAUCGCAGAACAAAUUGUUUGCAUGACUUUGUUGGUUGUAUUUUCAGAUCGUGUACAUCUGUACAUAAACAUGGAGGGGGGAAAAAACCCCAGUAGCUUCGCUCCAAAAGGGUCCUCCAUGCAGAUAGCGGGACGCUGACCCCCGAGGUCUCCCAAGUUCCCGGCCCGGUUAACCCCUCCGGAGCCGCGCAGGAGCAAAGGUUAACCUGACUAAUCAACUUGAAGAGUGGGAUUGAAUGAAGGUGAAGUCAACUGCAGCGGCCACUUAAAACAAGACAGCAAGAAAGAAACAGGUAAAUACCAUCGUUAGCAUUGUAAUUGGACAUUUAAUUCACCAUUUGACAAUUAAUUUUGUUUUUGUUUUUAUAUGAUGUAUUGUUUAUACCAAUAUGUAAUCAUCAUUCAGUUGUAUCAAGUUUCAUUUGUGAGAAAUGCAAAAUGAUGCAUAUUCUAUUUAGUUGAUGUUAAUAAUAGUAUACAGUAUACAUGUGUGUUUCUGUCAAAAAGGUACAAUUUUGCAAAUUGUGGUUGUACAUGUGCACUUCCUGAGAGGUCAAGUUCUGUUUACCAAUUUAUUUUUAACCAUCUCCAAACAACAAUAACAACAUUAAGAUACAAUUAAAAAUAUGUUGUGUGCCCGAAAAUAUCUUAUAUGGUCUUCCCCCAUCACUAAAUCAUCUAAUACAUGAAUCAAUCAUAAUCAUAAUCAACUGAUACGUGUCAAUAUUCAUCAUAUUUAAGGUCUUUUUUGACCACUUUGACAAUGCAAUAAUAAACAUAUUUUACCAGCCAACAACGACACAGCGCAUUGAGAUUGUGCAGGUGUGCCUAAUGUUGUGACUCUAUAAUAGUCCUAUUUCCAGCGCACCUCAUUUUAACCUUUGACUUAAAUAGUCCUUGAUGAUGCUUCACACUGAUGUAGAAAGGCUUGCGCGCAACAAACACACGUGUUGUGUGUCCAUUCAUAUAGAGUUGAUCCAUGCAUAUUAAGACGUGGUGUGUGUGUGUGUGUGUGUGUGUGUGCCCCGAGGGCCGCUAUCUAAAAAGGCAAUAGAUUCCAGAUAGCUCCACUGUUCCGUAUGCCAAUGAUAGAUUAUAGUGCCAAUUUGCACAGAUAGGGAUCAAUUUGUCUCAAUGAUCACUCUUUAGGCCCACUGCCAGCCUACUCUUCAUGUGUUUGUAUAAAGCCGCUCAUUUCAAUCACCAGCUCGCCACUGAAUAAAAGUAGGCGCCAUAAAGCGAGGAGGACGGCAGGUUGGCCCGCUCAAGACUGUGGUGAUGAUGACGUCUCCAGGCAACAGAGGUCACAGGUCGAACUCUCUACUAUAGUCGCUGCGAAUUCUAUGCGAAGUGUAACCCCUCCCCAAGAAGACCUGUGCAGACUGACUAGUCCUCUCUCUGCCCCCCCCCCCCCCCCCCCGCUUUUUUUUUUUUUCUUGAAAAAAGUUUUUUCAUGAAAAAAGACAAGAGAGGAGAAACAAGCCCACAUGUGCCCCCAAAGGCAGACAGCAGGCAGCAGACAGUGUAUUGAAUUGCAGUAACUCGAGGUGUAGUGUGUGGAAAAUGUGUGUGUGUGUGUGUGUGUGUGUGUUUGAGGGCUCACUCCGGCUUCCCGUCGGAGUCGUUAAGGUUACAUUUUAAUUGCUAGAUCAUUCCAUCGUGGUAAUUGUCGCCGCCACACCUUUAUUGUGUUGCAGUGUGUGUGUUUUAUUGGCUGUUCGUUAACUUAGUGAUCAUAAAACACCACCAAAUCAACUCCGUUUUUUUUCUUUACAAUAAGAAUAUCUUUUUUUUCAUCUUCAGUUCUUGAUUACCAAUACAAGAGCUCAUGUGUGAUAUUGUUGUUCUUGUAUUGAGGUGGUUUCUUUUUGUUGCUAACAAAAAAGGGUUACAACAUAUUACAAACACCUCUUAGGGCAAUCACAAUAGUAAACACACUGUAUACAUGUAAGAUAUUAAUAUUAAUAAUGUCAUUAUUUUUUUUGAAUUGUUGUGUGCUGUGUCCAGCUCGUGCAUAUGAGGUGUGUUAAAUACUUUAUACGCUGUUGCAUUUUUCAUUUUUCAGAUAACUUUGUGACAUUUUUUUCAAUAAAUUAUUUUAUUUA